rnacentral:rRNA from 1 species
UACGUAGGGUGCAAGCGUUUGUCCGGAAUUAUUGGGCGUAAAGAGCUCGUAGGCGGUUUGUCGCGUCUGCUGUGAAAACUGGAGGCUCAACCUCCAGCCUGCAGUGGGUACGGGCAGACUAGAGUGCGGUAGGGGAGAUUGGAAUUCCUGGUGUAGCGGUGGAAUGCGCAGAUAUCAGGAGGAACACCGAUGGCGAAGGCGGCAUCCUGGACCAAUAUUGACGCUGAGGAGCGAAAGCCAGGGGAGCAAACGGG